rnacentral:miRNA from 1 species
CUGCUGUGAUGGGAGCUCUG